AUGAGUGAAUUAUCGGAGUUCUCCAAUCUCGGUAGUUAAAUUAUGAAAUUUAACUACCUCGAUUGGAGAACUCCGAUAAUUCACUCA
rnacentral:sRNA from 1 species